UACAGAGGGGGCAAGCGUUAUUCGGAAUUACUGGGCGUAAAGGGCUCGUAGGCGGUCAACUAAGUCGGACGUGAAAUCCCUCAGCUUAACUGGGGAACUGCGUCCGAUACUGGAUGGCUUGGAUUUGGGAGAGGGAUGCGGAAUUCCAGGUGUAGCGGUGAAAUGCGUAGAUAUCUGGAGGAACACCGGUGGCGAAGGCGGCAUCCUGGACCAAUAUUGACGCUGAGGUGCGAAAGCGUGGGGAGCAAACAGG
rnacentral:rRNA from 1 species